rnacentral:sRNA from 1 species
UGGCGUUGUUGCCAUCGAGACCAUGUAGC